rnacentral:sRNA from 1 species
GCCUGGUCCCGGUAGAGUGGAGUUUACAACUAAUUAAUCACAACCAGUUAUAGAUUUCAUUCUUCCCCUCUCCACUGAUAUGACUGGAUCU